rnacentral:rRNA from 1 species
UACAGAGGGUGCAAGCGUUAAUCGGAAUUACUGGGCGUAAAGCGCACGUAGGUGGCUUUUUAAGUUGGAUGUGAAAGCCCUGGGCUCAACCUAGGAAUUGCAUUCAAUACUGGGAAGCUAGAGUAUGAUAGAGGAUAGUGGAAUUUCCGGUGUAGCGGUGAAAUGCGUAGAUAUCGGAAGGAACAUCAGUGGCGAAGGCGACUAUCUGGAUUAAUACUGACACUGAGGAGCGAAAGCGUGGGGAGCAAACAGG